rnacentral:rRNA from 1 species
CCUACGGGAGGCAGCAGUGGGGAAUAUUGCACAAUGGGGGAAACCCUGAUGCAGCAACGCCGCGUGAGCGAUGAAGGCCUUCGGGUUGUAAACUCUUGUCUUCUGGGACGAUAAUGACGGUACCUGAGGAGGAAGCCACGGCUAACUACGUGCCAGCAGCCGCGGUAAU